GUAAUGGGAACCAGGACCGGGAACUCGGAGGAUCACUCCACCAGGGAUCAGGAAUGGCAGAUAACCAUCACCAGAUGGAUUGCAGGAUCCAGUGAAGACUGUGCUAUCCGCUCAGAUCUGUUGAUCUCCUGCUUCGACAAUAGAGUCAGAUCCUCCGAUGUUCCAGAGAUCCUGAGACGGACCAUCCGUUGCCGGUGUCCUCCAUCUGCAGCUAGAAGAGAGUCGACCUGUAUACCACAGAGCCUGUGUGUCCAUGUGAGAUUUGGCAGCGCCUUGAGGAACUUCCGAGGAUCUCAACAUUGAAUGAGGACAGAUAUAAACGGGACCUGAUACACUCAGAAUUGAUUUCUGCCCUAAAUGGUUUUGCUCCAAGGAAGGUACCUGGUAUUGAUGAUUUACAUAUUGAAUUUGAUAAGGCCUUUUGGACUUCCCUCCAGGUUUUUCAGGAGAGCAUCAGAAAGAAGCUUAUUUGUUGUCAAGUGAGUCUUACCCUGUUGCUCAAGAAGGGGGACUUUGGGGAGAUGAGGAAUGGGAGACCUGUGUCCCUGCUUUGCUCUGACUGUCAACCUUUUGCAAAGGCCUUUACAAAUAGAUUGCAAACUGUGAUUGGUAUGGUCAUCCAUGUUAAUCUAGAC